CUGGAUGGUAGUGUAUUGGACUACCAUGGCGGUCACGGGUAACGGAGAAUUAGGGUUCGAUUCCGGAGAGGGAGCCUGAGAAACGGCUACCACAUCUAAGGAAGGCAGCAGGCGCGUAAAUUACCCAAUCCCGAUUCGGGGAGGUAGUGACAAGAAAUGACAAUUCGGGGCUUUAGGGCUUACGUAGUUGCAAUGAGUUUAAUUUAAAUCACUAUUCGAAUACCACUAGAGGGCAAGUCUGGUGCCAGCAGCCGCGGUAAUUCCAGCUCUAGUAGCGUAUAUUAAAGUUGUUGCAGUUAAAAAGCUCGUAGUUGAAUUUCUGGCAUUUUGCGUGUAGCUUCGGCGGCAUGCGAGGUGUCAUCCUCUCGGGAAUCACAUCGGAGUUUAAUCGCUCUAUGUGUGGAACGGGAUCUUUACUGUGAAAAAAUUAGAGUGUUUCAGGCAGGCUUGAGCCUAGAUACAUGAGCAUGGAAUAAUGGAAUAGGAGAAGGUCCAUUUUAUUGGUUAUUGGAUUUUUUAAUGAUUAAUAGGGACAGUUGGGGACAUUCGUAUCUAAUUGUCAGAGGUGAAAUUCUUGGAUUUAUUAGCGACGAACUAAUGCGAAAGCAUUUGUCAAGGAUGUUUUCAUUAAUCAAGAACGAAAGUUAGGGGAUCAAAGACGAUCAGAUACCCGUC
rnacentral:rRNA from 1 species